UACUAAUACAACGACCUGAAAGGCUAUUGCCACGGCAGUGAUAUUAAAUACUCCGUUAUUAUAUUUUUCUCAUCUCUCUCGUAAUCUCGUUCACUCUCCUCACUUCCUCACACCUCACCACCUCAGUUCUCUCUCCUCUCUCUUUCUCUCCUUCUCCCUCUUCUCUUCCUCAAAGACGAAGGCAACCAUCGCCGCAGCCACAACCACAUCCACUACCAUCGUCGCUCACAGAUUAAUUCUCUCUCUUUCUUCUCCCUCCUCAUUCACUGAUGGACACGGUGGUGAUGGUGGUCGCGAGUGAUAGCGACAGUGCGAUUCGAUUUUUAGGCUUUUGAUUGGUGUUUAGGCUAAGAGAGCUCUAAGAGCAUUGAAAGGAUUGGUAAGACUGCAAGCACUUGUUAGAGGGCAUGCUGUGAGAAAGCAAGCUGCUAUAACUCUUCGUUGUAUGCAAGCUUUAGUGAAAUUUCAAGCUCGGGUGCAAGCAAGGCAUGUGCGUUUGGCUUUAGAAAGUCAAACUGAACAGCAGAAAGCUCAUCAACAACUUCUACAGGAGGCACGUGUUCGAGAAAUAGAGGAAGGAUGGUGUGACAGUGUUGGCUCUGUAGAACAAAUACAGUACAAGUUGCUAAAGAGGCAGGAGGUUGCUGCUAAGCGGGAGAGAGCUAUGGCAAAAGCCUGACUAAACAUAUUACUGAUUUGUUUGUGUGUUUUGUUUAUUAGGGGAUCUAGAUCCAUUGGGUAUGUGUAAACAGCGCUAGAGGUGGAUAAUAUUGAAGUUGAAGAAGAUGCUUCAUGAAUUGCUUUACGAGAAAUUGGAGAAGCAGGAGAAAGAAAUGAUAAUGCGCUCCACAUAAUUGCCGAAAAUAUUGUUUGGCGGACAAAAUGGUUUAGUUUUAACUUUUAAUUGUUUUUUCCUUAGUUUAACUAGUGAUAAUUUAAUUUUGUAAUUUUCGUAAUAGAUAACAAUGUACAAACUUUGAAUUCAUAUUAAUAAAAUUCUAAUCUUUUUUUUUUUUUUUGGAAAAUUCUGAUUUUAAUAGUAUUAUUAUUAUUAUUGGUAUUAUUGGCAUUAGGUAUAUGUAUUGUGUGGAAUUAGGUAUUAGGAACCGUGGCAUUAGGGUAUAUGCAUUGUGUGGCAUUAGGUAUAGGGAACCGUGGCAUUAGGGUAUAUGCACCAUGGCAUUAGGUAUAGGAAAUCGUGGCAUUAGGUAUUAUACCUAAUGCCACAGCAUUAAUGUUGUUGUUGCAUCAGGUAUUGAUUUAAUCCACAGAUCAUUGAUGCCGUGGCAUUAGGUGUCAU